GACAGAGGGUGCAAACGUUGUUCGGAAUUACUGGGCGUAAAGCGUGUAUAGGCGGCCGCGACAGUCGGAUGUGAAAGCCCUGGGCUCAACUCAGGAAGUGCACCCGAUACUACGUGGCUCGAGUACCGGAGAGGUUGGUGGAAUUCUCGGUGUAGAGGUGAAAUUCGUAGAUAUCGAGAGGAACACCUGUGGCGAAGGCGGCCAACUGGACGAGUACUGACGCUGAGACACGAAAGCGUGGGGAGCAAACAGG
rnacentral:rRNA from 1 species